rnacentral:RNase_P_RNA from 1 species
GAGAGUAGGCGCAGGCGGUUGCAGAUCAGUCAUAGUCACUGGUUUGAGGAAAGUCCGGGCUCCCGAAAGACCAAACUUGCUGGAUAACGUCCAGUGCGAGCGAUCGUGAGGAUAGUGCCACAGAAAGAUACCGCCAAAACCAGUGCUGAGGAAUGAGUGCUGAGUGCUGAGUAAAGAAAACUCAGCACUUAGCACUCAGCACUCACAACUGUUUUGGUAAGGGUGCAAAGGUGCGGUAAGAGCGCACCAGCAGUAUCGAGAGGUACUGGCUCGGUAAACCCCGGUUGGGAGCAAGGCGAUAGGAACUACGGUUGGUCUUUUACCAGUUCCGCUCAAUGAGAGCCGCUUGAGGCGUUUGGUAACAAACGUCCCAGAUAGAUAACUGCCCUCGCAAGAGAACAGAACCCGGCUUAUGUCCUGCUCUCUCCC